CAUCUAAGGAGGGCAGCAGACGCGCAAAUUACCGAUUCCUGACGUAGGGAGGUAGUGACAAGAAAUAGCAAUUCAAGGCAAUCAAGUUUUGUGUUUGAAAUGAGCAGACCCCAAAUAGCUCUGCAAUGAUCGAUUGGAGGGCAAGUCUGGUGCCAGCAGCCGCGGUAAUUCCAGCUCCAAAAGCGUAUGUUAAAGUUGUUGCGUUUAAAAAGCUCGUAGUUCAGCAUCCGUCGUUCAGCUCGAAUACUUCCUUUGGAAGUAUUUGGAGUAGUUUGGCGCUCUCGACAGCUCGCGCGUUGCACUUAAUUUUGCGAAACCAAGCUGCCGUCACGUACUUCGAAGAAAUUAGAUUGUUUCACGGUGGUCAUCGCUAAGAAUAUCAAAGCAUGGAAUAACAAGUUUGACCUUGAUUCUGAUUUGUUGGCUUGUCGAUUGAAGGUGAUGAUCGGUAGGAACGGUUGGGGGUUCUCGUAUUUGACAGUCAGAGGUGAAAAUUCUUGAUUUGUCAAAGACGAACUAAUGCGAAAGCACUUGCCAAAGAUGUCUUCAUUGAUCAAGAGCGAAAGUUGGGGGAUCGAAGACGAUCAGAUACCGUCCUAGUCUUGACCAUAAACUAUGCCGUUCAGGGAUAAAGGGGCGUUAUGGAUGACUCCUUUGGCAUUUUGAGAGAAAUCAGAGUUCUUGGGUUCCGGGGGGAGUAUGGUCGCAAGACUGAAACUUAAAGGAAUUGACGGAAGGGCACCACCAGGAGUGGAGCCUGCGGCUUAAUUUGACUCAACACGGGAAAACUCACCAGUUCCAGACAUAAUCAGGAUGGACAGACUGAUCGCUUUUUCUUGAUUCUAUGGGUGGUGGUGCAUGGCCGUUCUUAGUUGGUGGAUCAAUUUGUCUGGUUAAUUCCGUUAACGAACGAGACCUUAGCCUACUAAAUAGCUACACGUACAAGAGCUUAUGACGAUAGCUUCUUAGAGGAACUCCGCCCUUCCAGGACAGGGAAGACUGAGGCAAUAACAGGUCUGUGAUGCCCUUAGAUGUGCUGGGCUGCACGCGCGCUACACUGGUACAAACAAUCGGUGGGCAUCCGAGCUUGAAGAGGCAAGGUGAUCCUUAAAAAUGGUGCCGUGAUGGGGAUCGAUUCUUGGAAUUCUCAAUCUUCAACGAGGAAUUCCUAGUAAGUACGAGUCAUUAUCUCGCACUGAUUGCGUCCCUGCCCUUUGUACACACCGCCCGUCGCUCCUACCGAUUGAGUAAUCCGGUAAAUAAUCUGGAUGUUUGCGAUGCUCUUGCAUUUGAGCUUCUCUGGCAUAAGGCUUGUAAACCUUAUUACUUAGAGGAAGGAGAAGUC
rnacentral:rRNA from 1 species